AGGACGAACGCUGGCGGCGUGCCUAACACAUGCAAGUCGAACGGGGAUUUGUUUCGGCAGAAUCCUAGUGGCGAACGGGUGAGUAACGCGUAGGCAACCUGCCCUCCGGCCGGGGACAACACUCCGAAAGGGGUGCUAAUACCGGAUACGAAGUCUGUGCCGCAUGGUACGGAUUUGAAAGAUGGCCUCUGUUUACAAGCUAUCGCCGGGGGAUGGGCCUGCGUCCGAUUAGCUGGUUGGUGGGUAACGGCCUACCAAGGCGACGAUCGGUAGCCGGUCUGAGAGGAUGAACGGCCACAUUGGGACUGAGACACGGCCCAGACUCCUACGGGAGGCAGCAGUGGGGAAUCUUCCGCAAUGGGCGCAAGCCUGACGGAGCAACGCCGCCGUGAGUGAGGAAGUUCUUCGGAACGUAAAGCUCUGUUGUUCCUGACGAACCCCCCUUCUAUCAACAACGGAGGGGACUGACGGUAGGGAACGAGGAAGCCACGGCUAACUACGUGCCAGCCGCGGC
rnacentral:rRNA from 1 species